GAGAUUAGACGUGAUGGGCUACGAAUCCAAAAUGGAGUGGGUUCUGUAACCAACCUCACACAUGAGUUACAAUUCCCAUCUGAGUGAGGUGCAGGUCGUGUUCUUCCUCACCUCUCUUUGUCAUCAUUUCGUUCCGUAAUCUUUUUCUCUCGCUCUCGACUUCUCUCUCACCAGACCUCGUCUGUCUAGGCAGAUCUUGUUGUGAGCCGCGCCACGUCGUGGAUCUCUUCUCCAAAUUUAGUCGCGAGGAACCCCGACAUCGUGGGGUUGUCAGAGCGGUGUUUUGGGGUGGUUUCGAGCGGUGUGGCAUCGUGGGUGGGUCGCAAUAGUCGUUGCGAGUU
rnacentral:lncRNA from 1 species